rnacentral:rRNA from 1 species
UCGAGAAUUUUUCUCAAUGGGCGAAAGCCUGAAGGAGCGACGCCGCGUGGGGGAUGAAGGGCUUCGGCUCGUAAACCCCUGUCAUUUGCGAACAAACCUCGCGUGUAAAUAACGCGCGGGCUGAUUGUAGCGAAAGAGGAAGGGACGGCUAACUCUGUGCCAGCAGCCGCGGUAAUACAGAGGUCCCGAGCGUUGUUCGGAUUCACUGGGCGUAAAGGGUGCGUAGGUGGUGGGGUAAGUCUCGUGUGAAAGCUCGCAGCUCAACUGCGAAAAGUCACGGGAUACUAUUCUGCUAGAGGAUUGGAGGGGGGACUGGAAUACUUGGUGUAGCAGUGAAAUGCGUAGAUAUCAAGUGGAACACCAGUGGCGAAGGCGAGUCCCUGGACAAUUCCUGACACUGAGGCACGAAAGCCAGGGGAGCAAACAG